AUGGGCGGCGCGCGCUCGCAGGUCAACAAGGCGCACAAGACGCGCUUCGCCUCCAAGGCCUCCCGCCACUCGCACAAGAUCGAUAAGGUCAGGAGCGGGAAGCCUGCGGGCAGCCACCGCGCCGCCCUCAAGGGCGCCCGUGCGGCGCGCCUCCAGCACAGCAAAGCGAUCCGUGAUCAGAAACGCGCUGCCUUGCUAAAGGAGAAGCGGUCAUCUAAUGGCUCCUCAAGUGCACCCCGUGUUAUUGUUCUUUGUGGCCUUUCCUCAUCUGCAAAUAUUGGACCACUUGCCGAAGAUCUUUUGACAUUUGCAGCAGGAGGAGAUGAGAAACUGACUUCCAACACCGUUGCUUCUCCCGCCUAUAAAGUUCGAACCACGGUACUGCAAGCACCAUAUGGCGAUCUCACUUCAUGCAUGGAACUGGCAAAGGUUGCUGAUUUGUUAGCAUUCGUAGUGUCAGCAAAUUCAUUAUACAACAGCAAUUCAGGCAAUCCAAUUGAUGAGUUUGGAUCACAAUGUCUAUCUGUUCUUCGAGCUGUGGGCUUACCUAGUACAGCUGUUUUCAUUCGAGAUCUUCCAUCAGAUACCAAAAGUAAGCAGGAAUUGAAGAAAGCAGCGGUUUCUUUCCUUUCUCCAGAGCUGCCUGAAGAUUGCAGGUUCUAUGCAGCAGAAACUAAGGAUGAUUUGCAUAUGUUCAUGCGGCUUUUCAAGGAGCAACAUCUUUCAUCACCACAUUGGAGAAAUCAGAGACCCUAUGUUAUGUCUGAGGAGGCCUGCAUAAAACCAGGUGACAGUAUGGGAUUGUGCACCUUGCUUGUGUCUGGAUAUCUGCGGGCCCACAAUCUUUCAGUGAAUCAGCUUGUACAUGUGUCAGGUGCUGGUGAUUUUCAGUUAGGACAAAUUGAUAUCCUGAAGGAUCCAUGUCCUGUUAGUGAGAGGAAAAACUCUGAUGUAAUGGAUUCAGAUGAUAAUCAAAUUCAGAUUAUUGAUACCUUCGUUCCAGACCCCUUGAAUCAGGAACCAUUACUUGUUGAAAAUAUUCCAGAUCCUCUUGCAGGAGAGCAGACUUGGCCAACAGAAGCUGAGAUGGAGGAAGCCUAUGAAAGCAAUAAACAAAGAAAGGUUGUAAAGAGGAAACUUCCUCGCGGCACAUCAGAAUACCAGGCUGCUUGGAUUGUUGAUGAUACAGAUGAUGAAGGUGAUGAUUCUGAGAAUGACAAUCCAGAUGGUGCUGGAAUGGUAAUUGAUGAGAAAGAUCACUCAGAGCACGACAGCGAUAGUUCAGAUAUAGAUGCAGUGUCUCACUUCAUGGAGAAAUUUGAUCAAGAAACUAUUGGGGGUUCUGAGAUGGGAGAUGAUGAAAAUCUUACCAAAGAGCAGAUAGAGGAAGACAUCAAGAGAAUCAAAGAAUCUAAUGCUGAUGAUGAAGAAUUUCCUGAUGAGGUGGAGACACCCUUAGAUGUCCCGGCAAGAAAACGUUUCGCAAAAUACAGAGGUCUAAAAUCAUUUAGGACAUCAUCCUGGGAUCCUAAGGAAUCUUUGCCACCUGAAUAUGCAAGAAUAUUUGCAUUCGAUAAGUUUACACGAACACAAAAGCACGUGCUUGCUAAAAGGGCUGAGCUAGAUGAAGAAAGCUCAAAGGAUUGUGCCCGAAUAGGAUCAUAUGUUAUGCUUCACGUGAAAAAUGUUCCUACAGAUGUUGCCUCCAAACUUUGUCAUCCAUCAAGAAGAUUACCUGUGGUUGUUUCUGGUCUUCUUCAACAUGAGUCGAAAAUUUCAGUUCUUCAUUUCAGUAUAAAAAAGCAUGACUCCUAUGAAGCUCCUAUCAGAAGUAAGGAACCUCUUAUUUUCAAUGUUGGAUUCCGGCAGUUUACGGCAAGGCCACUAUUUUCAUCUGACAACAUCAAUUGCAAUAAGCAUAAGAUGGAGAGAUUUUUACAUCAUGGGCGAUUUUCUAUUGCUUCCGUCUAUGCUCCAAUUUCCUUUCCACCCGUUCCUCUGAUUGUUUUGAAGAACAUAGAUGGGCAACAACCUGUCAUUGCUGCAGUAGGUACACUGAAAAGUGUGGACCCUGACCAGAUUAUUCUCAAAAAAAUUGUUUUGACUGGGUAUCCCCAGAGAGUCUCGAAACUCAAAGCAAUGGUGCGGUACAUGUUCCACCACCCAGAAGACGUCAGAUGGUUCAAGCCUGUCGAGCUGUGGACGAAACAUGGCAAACGCGGCCGGAUCAAGGAGACUGUCGGCACUCACGGUUCCAUGAAGUGCAUAUUCAACAGCAGCGUCCAGCAGCAUGAUACCGUGUGCAUGAGCUUGUUCAAACGAGCUUUCCCCAAAUGGCCAGAACAGUUCUAUCAUCAGAUAUAA
rnacentral:rRNA from 1 species